UUUUGAAUCACAUCACCAUGUAUGGCCAUGGCUGUUGGAGCUCUGUUCCCAAACUUGCAGGUCUGCAGAGGUGUGGGAAGAGCUGCAGAUUGAGGUGGAUAAAUUAUUUGAGGCCAGACUUGAAGAGAGGUACAUUCUCUGAGCAGGAGGAGAACCUCAUUAUUGAACUCCAUGCAGUUUUUAGGAAACAGGUGGUCUCAGAUUGCUGCACAGUUGCCAGGAAGAA